CUUCCUGCAUGCAUCCCACUGAGGAUCGAGCCUGCAACCCCGGGCAUGUGCCCUUGACCCGAAUCGAACCCAGGAUGCUUCUGUCUGCAGGCCGAGGCUCUAUCCACUGAGCAAACCCAGCUAGGGCUGUAGAUGCCUUUUAGCCGGUUGAGAAAGUUCCCCUCUAUGCCUCGUUUGCUGAGAUGUUUUAUUGUGACGGGGUAUGGGAUUGUGUCAGAUAUAAGAUGUUUUUUGAUGUGUCAUUUCCACGGCAAAGCUUGUCACACCUGCCCCAGAGUGACACCAGCCAGAGGGGACAACAGGCCAAACCCCAAGGCUCUCAGGCUAAGGGUGUCCUGCAGGGCCACAGGCUCACCCCUCCCUCAGCCCAGAUGGUCCAGCAACCUGACCAGAUGCAGCCAGCUUGGAGCAUCCAGACCACCAGCCUUGGAGGAGGAAUGGAUUGCUGUUCCCCUCACCUCCAGCAGGAAUCGGGGCCUCACUCCCAGGCCCUCGCUGGUGCAGACCUGGAUGCAGCAGGCCCCUAGGGUCCCAUUAUACAAAUCGGCAACAAAGGUGCAAGAAAAUUCAUUUCUUUGCAUAAGGUCCCCAACAGGUGAAGACAGCCCGAGAUCUAGGUCCUGGGCUUCCAGGCCUGUGAUCCUGCUUCCUUUUCCCCGCUGAGCUGGCCCAACACCCAGGGCUGGGCGCAGGCAGGAGGCCCGAGGGGCAGGAACUGGUGCCCAGCUAUGGCUCAGGUGGGGCCAACCUGGUGCAGCCAAGCGGCCAGCACCUUCGCGGGCCCCCCCGUCGGUUCAAAGGUUCGGGCCCCGCCCCCCCGGGCCUCGAGCCGCUUUGAAGUGCUGAUGGAGCCUGGAAGGGGCCACUUCACACCUCGGGCUCCGGAUAGAGCGCUCGCCUAGGGGAUAAAAAGGUCGCCGGCCGCCUUCCCUCCCGAGACCGCGCCGCUGCUGCUGCUGCUGCUGCUGCUGCUGCUGCUGCUGCUGCUGCUGCUAUGGCCCAGCCCCUGUGCCCCGCGCUCUCCGAGCCCUGGAUCUUCCCCGCGGGCUGGGGCGCCGCUCAGCCUCCUCCGCCCGCCGAUCGGGGCCGCUGCUGCUGCUCCCCGGCAUCCUCCCCGAGCUCCUGGGGCAGCGCCCCGGCCGGCAGCCCCGCGCCCAGCCCCCGGCGCCCCGGCGCCCGCACGGCCCCGCGCGGCCCUCGAGCCGGGAGGCGCGGCGGCCGCCUGGGCGGCGGGCAGCGGCAGAGCGCCAGCGAGCGCGAGAAGCUGCGCAUGCGCACGCUGGCCCGCGCGCUGCACGAGCUGCGCCGCUUCCUGCCGCCGUCCGUGGCGCCCGCCGGCCAGAGCCUCACCAAGAUCGAGACGCUGCGCCUGGCCAUCCGCUACAUCGCCCACCUGUCGGCCGUGCUGGGCCUCAGCGAGGACAGCCUGCGGCGGUGCCGGCGCCCGCGGCCCCGGAGCAGCAGCAGCGGCGACGCGGCGGCCCGUCGGGGCUGCCCGCUCUGCCCCGACGGCGGCUCUGCGCACGCGCACGCGGAGACGCACGCGCAUGCGCACGGCCUGGGCGCCGCCGCCCCCGCCGUGGGGUCUUGGGGGCCCGCGCCCGCCGGUCCUGGAGCCGCGGAGGUGCCCGCGCCCGCGCUGUACGAGGAGGCAGCGCGCCCCGAAGGGUUUGCGGUGCAGCCGGGGCCCUCGUCUCCGCUCUUCCCUGGCCACGUGCUGGCCCAGCUGGAGGCCUGGAUGCCCGCCUCGCCCCUGGAGUGGCCCCCCGGCCUGAGCAGUUGACGUGGCGGCGGCCAGCCGGCGGCCUGUCUACCGUGAGCACCGCGGUCUGUGCACCUUCGGAGGGCGCCCCGUCCAGGCCCCUCCCGCGGCGGAGGGCGGCGGCCAGGCUGGCAAGGGCAUGCCUGCGGGGCUCUGCUAAUGAGACGGAUCGCCUCCCACCGCUCAUCCUCCCCACCCCUUCCUGGGCCAGCCGCCCGGAACCGGCAGAAGGAAGCCCCGAUGCCUGAUCAGAGGGACAGGACAGUCACCAGUGUGCCCAGGUACUUCCGGUACGUGUCGUUGAAGAUGGCGGUCUGCUGCUCCCACUGGCUGUCCUUGAUGAUGUGGUUCUGGCCCGAGCCCAGGCCGUAGCAGCCCUCCAGCUUGGCAAACACUUCCA